ensembl:lncRNA
UUUUACAUUUAUUCAUUUAACAAUCAGCCCUUCAGUAGAACUGGAAUAACAAUACACAGCCACGAUCAAAGCAAUAACAAAGAGAGUGUACAAGGUUAAAAACCUACUUAACAUGUUGGUGUCUUUUAAAUUGGUGUCUGUGAACUACCGAAUUUGCUAUGUUUUCUCUUCAAGCAAUGAAACCAUUAAACAACUCUGGAAGGAUGGUUUGCUUUAUUCUUUCGCUUUUAGUCUAGGUUUCUAAUUCCAAAAAAGUUCAGGCAGCUUGGGUGUGUGUUUGUUGCAACUAUGUAAAUAACUUUUCCUGAGAAUGUAAAUUAUAUGAAAAAACUGUUCUGUCCCAUCCUGGCUACCUGCGCCUCAUUUUAUUCCACAGCAGUGAUCCCGAGCAGCAGCCCAAAACAUGCUUUGUGUUUUAAGGAUGUACUGAUCUGCACCUUGUUUUGUUGCUGCAAAGUAAAGUAAAAUUAGCUUCACUGCAUUUCCACAAUAUUAACAGUUAAAACAUUUGCUAUGUAGCAGUGGUCCUCGGGUUUCAGCCAAGAGUAUGUCCUGUAGUAUUCCCCAGAAUCAACGCAAGACAAUUUUUAUGUAUUGACGAGCUAUUUGACUACAGCUUAUUGUUAAAAAUAAAAUUAUUUUUAAAUUGAUUUUAAAAUCUAUCAACAGAGAUUAGGGCACAGACUACAAAAGAAUAAUUACCCACAUAGCAGACAGGUCUGGGCUGGAUCUGGUGUCAAGCCGGCACCGCUGGCUGACUUCUGGCAUGGUAAAUGGUAUGUCAUCCAUAUAUGGGCCAGGCCUGGCGUAGAUGACACUGUUUAACAGUGAUUAACAGACUCACUUUCAGGUGACUCUGUAAUUUGGCACUAUACAUAUAAACCUGAUAAGGGGUCCUCUCAUGGACAGUGUGCAAUGACACACAAAUAAUGACAUUUCACCAUAACCCUUAAUGGCGAAAGGCAGUUUGGAAAUUUAAAUGAGAUUACAAUUGUUGUACAUUACUCUAAAAUCAGUGCUAUGUACGUGACUUUACGAUCACAACCUGAUUUGAAACAGGAUCUAACAUAAACAUUCUCCCCCUGGAAAUAGCUCUUAGAUAUUAAGAGAAUAUGUCACAUGAGAUCACAGGAUGGCAAAAAAUGCACGUUAAAAUGAGCUCAUUUGGGCUCUUUUCAUUGGAACACUAAAGUACCACAACAAAGAAUAAGUGCACCUAUAUCUCUGACACUCUUAAAACCUUUCAUUGUAAAACACUUGUGAAUGCACACACGGACAGAAAAAAGAUAAUGAGAGAGAGCUGUUGUAUAACUUUCAUCAUCAUAAUGCACUUUUUCUAACACACAGUUUCUGACAAAAAACCCAGCACCAAAACAAAAAAAUCAAAACACCAAAUGUAAGCCACAGAAUAUACUGCUGAAUAAGACGAAAGUUAAAAAGCUUUAAUUCCAAGUCAUGCAAGGUAGUUGGCAAAUGUCUGUAGCGUGACUUUGCUGUGACCUGUCAAUAUUUG